AAAGGAUUACACUAAUUUUGCAGAACAAAACAAGUCAAUUCACCAAAUACAUAGCAUAACAUGUAUAUGUGUUCAUCCAAACGGAACGGUUUUUAUUACAAUCGAUUUGAUUUUAUGAAACAAGAUGUGUCACAUGACAUGUGGUAUUGGCUGUUGUGUAUUGGUGAUUGCAAUAGCCAUAGUUUUGAGUUACAAAAAGGAAGAAAUAUCUUGUUUCUUUAGUUGUUCAUAUGAUUGCUACCUUGAUCAAUCUGGUCUUAAAAGUGGACCACAUGUAUGUAAACUGUCUUAUGCAGCAGCAUUCGGGCGACGUUUCUAUGAAAGAAAGAAUAUUCUAUCAUUUAAAGAUACUUAUGUGACAACGAAAGAUAUUUUAAGUAUGUGCGGACUAUGGUGCUUUAAAAUGCCGAAGAUUUAGGAUCUAGAACCAAAAUACGCUGCCAAAAAAGAUUGUUGUGCAAAAUGUUGAGUACAAGCUGUAGUUGUGUAAGAAAUACUGAUAUGCUAUAUAAUAUUAG